rnacentral:rRNA from 1 species
UGGGGAAUAUUGGACAAUGGGCGAAAGCCUGAUCCAGCAAUGCCGCGUGAGUGAUGAAGGCCUUAGGGUUGUAAAGCUCUUUUACCCGGGAUGAUAAUGACAGUACCGGGAGAAUAAGCUCCGGCUAACUCCGUGCCAGCAGCCGCGGUAAUACGGAGGGAGCUAGCGUUGUUCGGAAUUACUGGGCGUAAAGCGCACGUAGGCGGCUUUGUAAGUUAGAGGUGAAAGCCUGGAGCUCAACUCCAGAAUUGCCUUUAAGACUGCAUCGCUCGAAUCCAGGAGAGGUGAGUGGAAUUCCGAGUGUAGAGGUGAAAUUCGUAGAUAUUCGGAAGAACACCAGUGGCGAAGGCGGCUCACUGGACUGGUAUUGACGCUGAGGUGCGAAAGCGUGGGGAGCAAACA